AUUGAACGCUGGCGGCAGGCCUAACACAUGCAAGUCGAACGAGUGGCGGACGGGUGAGUAAUGUCUGGGAAACUGCCUGAUGGAGGGGGAUACCUACUGGAAACGGUAGCUAAUACCGCAUACCAUCGGAUGUGCCCAGAUGGGAUUAGCUAGUAGGUGGGGUAACGGCUCACCUAGGCGACGAUCACUAGUUGGUCUGAGAGGAUGACCAUACACACGGGAACUGAGACACGGUCCAGACUCCAACGGGAGGCAGCAGUGGGGAAUAUUGCACAAUGGGCGCAAGCCUGAUGCGGCCAUGCCGCGUGUAUGAAGAAGGCCUGCGGGGUGUAAAGUACUUGCAGCGGGGAGGCGUGACCCGCAGAAGAAGCACCGGCUAACUCCGUGCCAGCAGCCGCGGUAAUUC
rnacentral:rRNA from 1 species